rnacentral:misc_RNA from 1 species
CAGAAUUUGGAAAGGUUUAUUGUCUCAAUCAUCUGAGUUACAAUUUGUAGCUACCUCUCCUGUAGUGUAGAUAAAAACCAGUCAUUUUCAAAGGCAACGAUCUAAUUUUCAUUUGCUUGAUGUUGUAUGGAAUAUGGAUGCUAUGGCAUCAUAGGGCUAGGAUUGUUGCUCUUUUCUAUAUUCUACCAGGUUGGGUGCUGCAUGCAAAGUAUUGUGCAUAUAUACAGCAGAAAAAUAAUUAGUAUUUUGUUUGCACAUCUCAUUCUCAGAUCACGCUUAGAAUUUUGAAAUGCAGAAUCAUGGGUUUAGUUUCUCCUAUGCUCCUAUCUGGGCCAAGGCUAUUUUCUUUUUCUGAAGUCUCCCCAUAAACACGAUGAAGUUUUUACUCAAAGCAAUCAGUAGAAAGGUUGAAUGGCAAUACCUGGAUGCCAUCAUAUAGCUUUUCUGCGAGUGGAAAAAGUGGUCAAUGUGUUUCCUUGUUUUCUUUUAAUCUGGCUUUUGGGGAAGGGAAGAGGAAUAAGUUGAAGGAUAUGAUCAUGAACAAUUUGUGAUUUCGGGUUGCUCAAAAUUUUCCUUGUGUGACAGUACACGAGUAAUCUUAU